rnacentral:rRNA from 1 species
UACGGGGGGGAGCAAGCGUUGUUCGGAUUUACUGGGCGUAAAGGGCGCGUAGGCGGUCAGUGCAAGUCAGUUGUGAAAUCUCCGGGCUUAACUCGGAACGGUCAACUGAUACUGCUCGACUAGAGUGCGGAAGGGGCAACUGGAAUUCUUGGUGUAGCGGUGAAAUGCGUAGAUAUCAAGAGGAACACCUGCGGCGAAGGCGGGUUGCUGGGCCGACACUGACGCUGAGGAGCGAAAGCCAGGGGAGCAAACGGG